UCCAGAAGUGAUGAGUUUGUUAUUACCGCCCCAGUCUGAUGUUAGCUGACUGAUUGGUACCCCUCUGAUUUGAC